GACGAACGCUGGCGGCGUGCUUAACACAUGCAAGUCGAACGAGAGGACAAGAGAAGCUUGCUUCUUUUGGAAUCGUGUGGCAAACGGGUGAGUAACGCGUAAACAACCUGCCCUCCGGAUGGGGACAACAGCUGGAAACGGCUGCUAAUACCGAAUACGAUCUAAAGGCCGCAUGACCUUUAGAAGAAAAGAUGGCCACUGAAUAUGCUAUCGCCGGAAGAGGGGUUUGCGUCUGAUUAGCUAGUUGGAGGGGUAACGGCCCGCCAAGGCAAUGAUCGGUAGCAGGUCUGAGAGGGUGAACGGCCAAAUUGGAACAGAGACACGGUCCAGACGCCGACGGGGGGCAGCAGGGGGGAAUGUUCCGCAAUGGGGGAAAGCCUGACGGAGCAACGCCGCGUGAGUGAAGACGGCCUUCGGGUUGUAAAGCUCUGUUAUAUGGGACGAACGGGUGUAUGGUCAAUACCCAUACGCCGUGACGGUACCGUAAGAGAAAGCCACGGCUAACUACGUGCCAGCAGCCGCCGUAA
rnacentral:rRNA from 1 species